rnacentral:rRNA from 1 species
CCUACGGGUGGCAGCAGUGAGGAAUAUUGGUCAAUGGGCUUACGCCUGAACCAGCCAAGUCGCGUGAGGGAAGACUGCCCUAUGGGUUGUAAACCUCUUUUGUCAGGGAGCAAUUGGCGCUACGUGUAGCGUUAUCGAGAGUACCUGAAGAAAAAGCAUCGGCUAACUCCGUGCCAGCAGCCGCGGUAAUACGGAGGAUGCGAGCGUUAUCCGGAUUUAUUGGGUUUAAAGGGUGCGUAGGCGGAAUGCCAAGUCAGCGGUGAAAGUUUGUGGCUCAACCAUAAAAUUGCCGUUGAAACUGGUUGACUUGAGUAUAUUUGAGGUAGGCGGAAUGCGUGGUGUAGCGGUGAAAUGCAUAGAUAGCACGCAGAACUCCGAUUGCGAAGGCAGCUUACUAAACUAUAACUGACACUGAAGCACGAAAGCGUGGGGAUCAAACAGGAUUAGAUACCCUUGUAGUC